UAACACGUGGAUAACCUACUAUAAGACUGGGAUAACUUCGGGAAACCGGAGCUAAUACCGGAUAAUAUAUUGAACCGCAUGGUUCAAUAGUGAAAGACGGUUUUGCUGUCACUUAUAGAUGGAUCCGCGCCGCAUUAGCUAGUUGGUAAGGUAACGGCUUACCAAGGCAACGAUGCGUAGCCGACCUGAGAGGGUGAUCGGCCACACUGGAACUGAGACACGGUCCAGACUCCUACGGGAGGCAGCAGUG
rnacentral:rRNA from 1 species